ensembl:lncRNA
GCAUUUGGCUGGGUAGAUAUCCGCAGAGCCCAGACCUGUCCUGUUUCCACCCAGGGCUGCAGCACAGGGGAGAAGAAGUUUCUUUCUCUCCUCUUCUUUCCUUCACCGCUCCACUGAUGCCUGCUGUGUCCAGGUCACCUCGGCAGGCACUCCAGAUGCACAGAUGAGUGCCCAUAGUCCUGCCCUCAAAGGCUUCCCAGUCUAGAAGUACGAACAGCGGGGUGAGGACAGGAAGAGGUGCGUGAAGUUACUUUGAUGAGGAGCAGGCUCUCCCACCUUUUGGGAGGAAGAGAGACAGCACAAGAUUCACAGAGGAGCUUAUGUGGAAACGGAGAUUUCAAGAGCGGGGGGCGGGGCAGCAUGAGGCUAUCUCAGAAGUGAUGAGAGCUCACUUCGUGGCAGAGAAAAUAAAAGUUCUGUGUCUGAGAAGUAUAUUUUGUUAGAAACUGUUUCCUCGUUUUGUGCCGAGUCUGUCUGUCUGUUCCAUUUUACCUUUGGGUUCAAGCUGCAGGAG